GACGAACGCUGGCGGCGUGCCUAAUACAUGCAAGUUGAGCGAUGAAGGGUGGUGCGUGCACCAAUUUGAAGAGCAGCGAACGGGUGAGUAACGCGUGGGCAAGCUGCCUGUGAGCGGGGGACAAAAUUUGGAAACGAAUGCUAAUACCGCCUAACAACGUUAAACAUAAGUUUUAAGUUUGAAAGAGGCAAUUGCAUCACUCAAAGGUGAUCCCGCGUUGUAUUAGGUAGUUGGUGAGGUAAAGGCUCAACCAGGCGAUAGUACAUAGCCAACAUGAAAGGGUGAUCGGCCCACUCGGGACCGAGAACAGGCCCCAACUCCCACGGGGGGGAGCAGGAGGGGAACUUUGGCAAAGGACGAAAGUCUGACCGAGGACAGCCGGGUGGGUGAAGAAGGUCUUCGGGUCGUAAAACUGCGUUGGUAGGGAAGAACGAUGGUGCGAGUAGAAAGCUCAGGAAGUGACGGUAACGACACAGAAAGCGCCGGCUAACUACGUG
rnacentral:rRNA from 1 species